GUGCCAGCAGCCGCGGUAAUACGUAGGGUGCGAGCGUUGUCCGGAAUUACUGGGCGUAAAGAGCUCGUAGGUGGUUUGUCGCGUCGUCUGUGAAAUUCCGGGGCUUAACUCCGGGCGUGCAGGCGAUACGGGCAUAACUUGAGUGCUGUAGGGGAGACUGGAAUUCCUGGUGUAGCGGUGAAAUGCGCAGAUAUCAGGAGGAACACCGAUGGCGAAGGCAGGUCUCUGGGCAGUAACUGACGCUGAGGAGCGAAAGCAUGGGUAGCGAACAGGAUUAGAUACCCUGGUAGUCCAUGCCGUAAACGGUGGGCGCGUAGGUGUGGGGUCUUCCGACGACUUCUGUGCCGUAGCUAACGCAUUAACGCGCCCCGCC
rnacentral:rRNA from 1 species